ensembl:lncRNA
CCCAGCAUAUGACUUCUUCUCCCAGAAAAUACCUCUUCUCUCCCCAAAAAUAUGAGUUUUCUCUCAGAAUAUACAACUUUCCUACACGAAAUAGGACAUUUUCUCCUGCAAAAUACUGCUGAAACAUGGACUCAGAUAUGAACGAUCCAAAACAUUUAUUACAGGUUCUAACAUCCCUUAUAAACAUUCACAAGUUUUCUCUUUUAACUUUCCCACCCACGUUUAGAUGCCAACAAAACAUUCCACAAACACUCCUUCACUGUGCCCAUAGGCACUCAUCCAGUCAGAGCCAUCAGUCGUUCCUGGCCACGCACCCUUCCUCCAAUCAGGGUAAUUACCACACGGCCAUCACACAGCUUACUUGACUUGCUUUUUUCUUCUUUCUAGAGAUGUCCUUGGUUCUCAGUAUAGCUUUCUCAUGCUGUUUACCUUGCUCCACAGCUGCUGCUCUGAAUAGUCUUUUUGUAUUCCCACAGGAUCAGGCCCAGUCAGCAUAGGUUCAUGAAAUGUAGUUCCUGCUUAACAAACCUGAUGCCACCUUAUGACAAAGUGACCCACUUAGUGGAUGAGGGUAAGGCUGUUGAUGUGGUUUGCCUGGACUUCAGUAAAGCCUUUGACCCCCACAGCAUCCUUGUGGAGAAGCUGGCAGCCCACAGUUUGGAUGGGAAUACACUCUGCUGGGUGAAACACUGGCUCGAUGGCCAGGCCCACAGAGUUGUGGUCAAUGGAGUUAAAUCCAGGUGGUGGCCGGUCAUGAGUGGUGUCCCCCAGAGCUCAGUACUGGGGCCACUACUAUUUAACACCUUUAUCAGUGAUCUUGUUGAGGGGAUUGAGCGCAUUCUCAGUAAGUUUGCAGAGAGCACCAAGUUGGGAGGGAGCAUUGAUCUGCCAGAGGGGAGAAAGUCACUACAGAGGGACCUGAAUAGACUGGGUUGAUGGGCCAAGGCAAACUGGUAUUAGACCAGAGAGAUUACUGCGUUACAAAGGAAAAAUGAAAUUAAGAGCUUACCCACAUCCUGGGGUUACAGAAGGGCUCCAAAAGAAGCAAUCUCCAGAUAGAAAUCCUUCCUCCCUGGGAGUCAGCCCUUAAAUGGGGUCUGGGAGAGGUGCAGCCUCUCCCCUUCUGGUCACUCAGGUGAAAUUGCAUUCACCUGUGCCCCUGCAGCUGACUCAGUGCUCGCCUCAGGUGGUCAAUCAGAGGUUCAGGCCAUGAUUCAACAAUUCCCAUACAGUAAGGCCAAGUGUCAGGUCCUGCAUUUUGGUCACAGCAACCCCAGGCAACCCUACAGACUUGGGGAGGAGUGGCUGGAAAGCUGCCUGAUGGAGAGGGACCUUGGUGUACUGAUGGGCAUUCGGCUGAAUAUGAGCCAGCAGUGUGCCCAGGUGGCCAAGAAGGCCGGUGUCAUCCUGGCUUGGAUCAGGAGUGGUGUGGUGAGCAGGACGAGGGAAGUCAUCCUGCCCCAUGUAUGUGGCAUUGGUGAGGCCUCACCUCGAGUACUGUGUUCAGUUUUGGGCAUCUCAGUCCAGAAAGAACAUGGAGGUGCUGGAGCAGGUCCAGAGAAGGGCAACAAGGCUUGUGAAGGGCUUGGAGAAUGUGUCCUAUGAGGAGAGACUGAAGGAACUGGGGCUGUUUAUUCUGGGGAGGAGGAAGCUGAGGGCAGACCUUAUCGCUCUGCCAAUAUCUGAAAGGUGAUUGCAUUGAGAGUGGGGUUGUUUACUUCUCACUGGUGACAGGACAAGGGGAAAUGGCCUUAAGUUGCACCAGGGUAAGUUUAGGUUGGACGUCAGGAAACACUUCUUUACAGAAAGGGUUGUUAAGCACUGGAAUAGGCUCCUCAGGGAGGUGGUUGAGUCACCAUCCCUGGAUGGUUUAAACAGUUUAAAAACUGUUUGGAUGUGGUGCUCAGGGACAUGAUUUAGCAGAGGGUUGUUAGGGUAGUUCGGUUAGGUUGUGGUUGGACUCAAUGAUCUUUAGGUCUUUUCCAAGCCGAGCAAUUCUAUGAUUGAUUAAGUACAAAAUGCCAUGGGCAGGAAAAUCCUGCUCUGAGGCCUCAUGCAGGGCAUGGAGUCCACGGGGCACUGUGGCUGUGGGUGCUGCACAUGCAGCUGUGAGGCUGGAUCCUCCCACGGUGGUGGGCUCCUCAGUGGGGACAGGCGCAGGCAGCUCGGCACCAUCUUUUUGGCAGCAUCCUCCACUCCUGUCAUGCUGCCUGAUGGUGCCUACGCUGCCUUGUCUGUGCUGCUGCCCUGGUGCCGUGGGGCAACAGGCACAGCACUGGGGGGGGGUAGGAGCUGCAUGGAUGGUGGCUGGCACACCAGCCCCACCACUAUCACCCUCUACCUCAGGAGUUGCAGGGCCUGGAUGGAUUCCAGCAAGUGUCUGCGCAGCUCACUGACAUUGCCCGCUUGCCUGCUGCUGCUGGCUCCUGUGCUAGCUCCAGCUGGCUUUGCUUGUGCAGAUGUUUGAAGCCUUUGACCUCUCUGCAUGGCAGCAGCUUCCCUUUCUUGGCUGGGAUGCUGCUAGUAGGCUGCUCGUGCCUGAAGGUCUACCCUUUGUAGGGGGUGCUGGCAGGCACAGGGUGCUUGGCCCACUUCAUGCUAUCCCUGUGUUUCUUGUUAGCCACUUGACAGAAAACAGAGCCUGGUAGCAGUGGCAGCUGGGUCAGAACCACUCGGGGUUGCCUUCACUGUGCCUCUUUGUUUGGCUGUGUGGUGCAGGGUGAGGGAGGUGUGGGGACAGCCAAAGGGGUUGGCAGGGGACUGAGCUGGGGUCUUGCUGGUGGCUCAACAAGGGGCAGCAGAAACGGCCAACGCUGCAUCUCAGGCUGGAGCUCAGGGGAUGGUGGAAGCCUCCACAAGGGGUCAGUGGGGGUCCCAGUGGCAGCCUGUCCCCUCAUGCUGAGCUUCCCUGCUGUAACUGAGGAUGUCAGGGAGCUCAAUGUUGAAGCAGGGGGGGCAGGGCUGCUGGGGACCGGGGGUCCUCAGGCUCAGUGGCACUGAGCUCUCUGAUUGGCUCUUUCUCACUGCUGUCCAGUUCUGUUAGAAGUCAGUCCUGUGGAAGGUCACUGUCCAGCUUUUCCUCUUCUAGCUUUGCAAUGUCUUCAGUCCCAAAGCCUUUUCUGAUAGCAGGCAUUUCCUUGUUCUCCUUGAGCAUAUUUGGGGCAGAUCCCUCUUCUAAGAAAGCAAGAAAAUAACCCAAAGGAGUGAUGACGGCCUUCCCAUGCCCCUCUGAGUGGACAUCCACCCAGCAGCUCUGCAGCCCCCGUGCUCACUCUUGUUCAAGCUGAGAAAAACAUUGAUGUCCAUCCACAUUCUCUUCCAUCUCUGGGGCGGUGGGCAUUGCUACAAAAAGCAAGAAAGCCCACCAAAGAAGCGAUGCCAACUUUAUCAUACUCGAUCAGUGCAGACAUCCAUGCACCGGCUCUGCAGCCCCCUAACUCAUAGUUGGGCACUAGUAUCACCGUGAUGCACGUUUGUGAAGCUAAGGUGGACUGGGGGCAUCUGGUGGUGAGCACCAGGUACUCCAGCUCCUCUAGGAGCACCACGUUGUCCUUGCAGGGCUCCAUUGGCAGCUGCCAGCUGCUGGGCAGGGUUCAGGGCAUAGGGAGCACCCGUCCUUGGUGUGCAGACACCUUAAAAAUUGCUGGUGGGAGGCUGGGGCAGCUGGGGCCCUGUAGUAGACAGGUGUUUCCAGGCUGCAGGGGCUCCUCGUGGAGCACAACCCUGGGCCCCAGCCCCAUCAGCUGCUUGGGGCAGCAGCAUCGCUGCCACCACAGGGUGUCUCCAGUGCUGGACAGGGGCCCUAGGGGGAUUAACACCUGGCUGCAACCACCCAGGUGGGAGCUGCGCCACUGAUUAGAGCUGUCCCCUAGGUGGGAGCUGCACUAUGUGCCCCGGGACACCUGGCACCCCAAGCCAGACAGUGUUGGGGCACCAGGUACAUUGCAGUGAGGACAGGGAGAGGCUGGAAUGGUACUGGCAUUGGUCUGCGGAUGGACGGCUGCAUCCAGGCAUUGGCUGUUGGUGGCACAGCUGAUCCUGUGAAAGUGGCAUCAGGUGUCUGUGGCACCAUCGGCAUCGAUCUAGGGAUUCCCUCUGUGGGGAAACACCAAAAGCGGCGCUGGGGUGAGCUCUGGGGCACUGGAGUGACCGGGAGGACUGGAGUCCCAGGAGCAGGGGGAGCUGGCUGCUUUACCUGCCAUGGUGGCUGGAGAGUGGCAGUUAGGAAGGCCCCUUCCACAACAGGAGCUCCAUCCCAACAGCGACCUUUGGGAUCAAUCCCUUUCCCCCAGGCUUGCAAUGCUUUAAUUUUUUGUACCCAAACAUCUUUCCCAUCCAAUCACUUCCCACCCCAAUGAUCAUUUGCCAUUCCAACGGGCAUUUCAGAGCUGGAUGUUCUUCCGGCCCUGAGGGAGCUUGGCUGCAGAUCAGCCACAACUUUGUCGUGGGGCUGCCCUCUCCCCAAAGGCACUUUCUUCCCAGUGCUGCUGGGAUCUGCCCCUGCCCAGGAUCCAGCAGAAGGCUGGAUUAUCUCCUUUGGGCUGGUGGGCAGGGAAUACUUUGGGCCAGGAUUCCCACCCCACUGUAGGGCACGGGCUGCGUCCUUGCAGGUCUAACAGAGCUCUGCCCCAUACUACCAAGGGACCUCUGGGGCAGUGGAUGAGUGCCUGGGUCUGGGGAAGGCUUUAGAGGAUCAAUGGGGCUGGCACAUGCACCCAGCAGCCCACAGCCUGUGGAGCUGUCUCCUGGGUUUGGCUGGGCUGAAGAACUGGGGCAUGGAGCCAGGUCCUUCAGGAGAGUUGCAGAGGCCAUGGGCUGAGGCUGAGGGAGGUCAGGGAGCCACGUGAUGGGAGGAAGAACAUGGCUCACACUCCCUGGGCAUGCAGAGGUCCACUUCGGCUUCCUAGUCUUGUCAUGGCAGAGCUGCAGGCCCUCCCUACUGGGUGCUGGAGUGUGAAGGUAUGGCAGUGGGGUGCAGAUGGGCCCUGGGGCUUCCUGGGGUGAGGCUCUGCCUCAAGAGGAAGGUGUUCUGCCUCCCUGGGAUGCAGCCAGCUACAGGAGCGCACUGGAGCUGUGGAUACUCUGUGCAGUCCUGGAAGCUGGGUUGGGAGUGAGCCGAGGUGUGAAUAAUAUUAGUUCACAGAGGAAGUACUUUUCCAGGUGAAGUCUCUGAGCAUCCUGCUGUCUCCUGGUUCAGCCUGCAAGGUUGGGGUAUCAGUGUGAUACCAGGAGGGCAGGAGAGCAGUAAGUAAUGAGGGCAGAAGGGCAGGAGAGCUGAAGUGGAGGAGAGUAGGAAGGAAAGAAAACAGAAAGGAAAAAUCACAGAAGGUCAGGAGAACAGGAGACAAGGAGAGCAUAAGACGCAAAGGGCAGGAGCACAGAAGAGCAAAAGAGCAGGUCAGGAGAAGAGGAAUGCAAAAAGGGCAGGGAAGCAGAAGAGCAGAAGGGCAGGAGAGACCAGAAAAGAGGGAUGGCAGAAGAGCAUAAGGUCAGGAGACCAAGGUUGCACUCUUUGUGUUCUUUUCCCCCAUGCGUAACAGAGGAGGGCACGUGCUGCAUGAUAGCGGGAGGUUGCCAAAACAGAAAAAGGAGAGCUUAAGAUACAGCAGAAAUCACCUGGUAAGGCAUUUGUAAAAAGCAAGGAAAACAAGAGUUUCCCAGCAGUUAACUGGGAAGCACAGUGAGCCCUGCACCACAGUGAGCUUUGGCACCUCCCUGGGGACUUCCCAAAUUCCUCUGCCCUAUCUGCAGUCCUGUUGUCAUUCCCUCUGCACAUGUGCUUUGGAGGCAGAUCCACGUUUACAUGCUGCUGAAUGAGCCUCCCUCUUGCUUUCCAGGAAUCCUUCUGCCCCACUCCUCCAGGCUACAUCCAGAGGAUGGAGUAUGACCGAGAGCUCCAGGAGGAGAGGGAGGUGUGGGAAAAGGAGCAUCAGAGAGUACCAGCAAAGAUCCCACUACGGCAGUAAGUGGGGCAGCUCCUGCCAUGUCCUGGCUCAGGGGCAGUGAGCCGGCAUUGAGCCAAGGACCCCCACAGAUGGGACUGCAGGCAUGCAGGCUGGGGCAGAAGGCGUCUGAGAGUAACUCUGUGCCACUCUUGCUGCCACCAAGUGCCGAUGGCCCUCCCACCGCCAUACUAGGGAAGGAUAGAACCCAGUGGGCAGAGCUGAAGAAGCUUUGGAGUAUAGAGAACAGUGGAAAAUUACCAGGUUAAGCUAGCGUGGGUAUAAAAGUCUAUAGACAAGGAUAAUAAAUGAUUUUGCUAUGCAACUGCAGUGGAGUCCGUGCCACAUUGCCACAUGGGAGGGGCACCGCGCAGUGCUGCUGGGCCUGGCACGCUGUGUACAGCUCCCCCCAGAGAUGCCUGCAGGUCUUGUGAAGGAAUACUGAAUAAAUAGCAACUCAUAGUGCACCUGGGUGCUGGCUUUUCAUUAGGAACCGCUGAGCUGAGUGCUUAAACCCUCCUUGAGCAUCUCCCACAUUUGCUUGCCAGUGUCGCAUCAUUGGGGUCCAGGCAGCCUUCCCUGGCUGUGUUCCCACAGCAGAAGGCUGUGUACAGGUCGGUGUAGUGUAACUGCCUGCAGAUGCCAGUCCCAGGCUGUACCUGCCGUGUGGGCUCUUGCCAGAGUACCCUGGUGUUUGUCUCCUCCAUUUCCUGGACCUCCUCGCAGUCCACACAUCCACCAUCCUCCUUCAGGGCCCUCAUGCUUGCAGUUGCUCCCAUGUAAAUAUCUGUGUGCAGAUGCACAAAGCAUGGUGAACUCUUCUGUUACAGCCUGAGACAGGCUGACAUAUGCGAGGACAUUGCUGGGUCUGCCUCAUAUCUUCAUUUGCUGCAGGACUUAGGCUCUAUUGCUUUUGCUAAGUGCAGGUAUUGCCAGCAUGCAAAGCCAACUCAUUCCUGCUGCACUGAGCCUGUAGCAGGAUGCCCCAGGGUUGAGUAGUUGGGUCUCAGGCAUCCAGAAGCCCAAAUCAAACCUGGGUAUCCUACAGCUAUGUCUGAAAAACUAGGCGUUCGUUUUUAUUUUUGGACUAAUUCCCAUAUGGAAAACCAUUCAGUUACUAUUCUGCUAUCAACUAUAUUCUAACCUGUUUUUCACAGAUGGCUCAUUAUUCCUUAAAAAUAUUAAGAUAUCAGAAAUGUGGGCUGUUGCUGUAGCCUGACAGGAAUGGAAAAGCUUACAACAGGUACUCCACUUAUUUCCUUUGUCCCAUAUUAUCCAUUUGGAACUGGAGAGAGAAUCUCAGGCAGGCUUAACACUUUCUUUUGAAGUACUUAGGUUCUGGAGAAUUGAACGUUCGGACAUAAAUGAAUUGUUCAUGCAUGCAUACAGGAAAAAAAUUACACGUCAAUGACAUCAAGAUUUUGAUGAUCCCAGUAUGUCCACCCAGACCUUCUCAAGGGCACAACGAGGGACAGUACAAAACUCCUAAUGACACAGAGACAGGAAAGGAUGGUGGCCAAGCCGGGCACAGCAUGUAAUUGCUAGUUUAGGAAGAAAGUCAUAGACAGGUGAGCACAGUAGCAGUUCUGUGCUCAGUGUUUCUCACCGGUGGGAAGCAUAGCAAUGUCUCAGGCUGGUUUGCUCGGGGCACUGCAGCCCACUGCUUUUCCUGCAUGGGAAGUAGAGGCAAAUGGGAGCCCAUUGGCCAGCAGUGCCCUCCCAGCAAUGGGGCUCAGGCUAGAAGAGACCAAGUCAAGCUCCAUGGUGAGCAGUGCAGGCCAAGACUGUGUGCAGCAUGCAGGGAAGCCCCUCAGUGCCCCCCACACAGCACAGCCCAUCCCCUGCCCUUUGGCAUCUGUGGACAACUUCCCCUCCCCAGGCCAUGGGCAGGAGCAUGAAAGCAAAGUGCUGUGGGAGCAGAAGGAGUCCCUCACCAGAAGGAAAGGAAGAGCCAAAGAAGAGAGGGGAUUAACUUAUUUGGGGGGCUCGCCAAGGACUCCCUCUCUAUAGCAUGUAUUUAUCAACCAAUCAUGACAUCAUCAUGUCUGCAUGGAGCAUGUACCAGUGCUGCUCCCAGCUGGCCCUGCAGAGCAGGGAGCCUGACUUUGUCUUGCUCCCUCACUCUCAGCUCCAUGCUUCACUCUGGACGGCUCCUCCCAGCAGGCAUCUGCACACUGCAAACAGCACAGGGAGCUUGUUGGAGAACAGCAGGAGCUGGAAGAAGAGAAAGCCAAGAGUUGGGUUCCUCUGCCAUGCCACAACACACCCGGACAGAGCUCGGUGUGCCCGGGCCCAGGCAAGGGCUCCUCGCAGACAAAUGGGAGCUCAGGGCAUCAUGCUGUCAGUUCCCAAAGAAACUCACAGUCCUUGCUGAAGUCCUCCUUUCUGCCACCAGACUACAGCCUCAUCUGGAUGGAAGGAAAAUGGAUGUAGGAGAGCAGGUGCUCACAAGCCUCUGGAAGCACAAAACAAGAAAGCUUUUCACAGCUGCAUCUCUGAGACACUUCCCACAAGACAGCCAUGCCAGCUGCGCAUGGACUUGCUGUUGCUGUCUAGCCUGGCUCCCCAUCCUCAUGGCCAGGCUUCCUAGGAGCAUCGCAGCCCUCUCCACUACCACCUGUUCCCAGCCCUCCCUUUCACAUGGCCCUGCUGAUCCCUCAGCAGUUCCUGAACCCACUGCUUCUUCGGUGCUUAUUUGAGAAGGGGUGACAUGGGACACAUCAGUCCCUUUGCAGGAUCUCUGGCACUGGGAAUAUGAAUUCAGAGCUGCAGUAACACACUCCCACUUCUCUACAUCACAUCUAUAUGGUAGUACAGUACCUUGCUGUGCAGCCGUUUCAGCCAAGCGAUAUUCUGGCAUCUUGUGGUUGGGCAGGAAACUGCCAAUAAAAAAGCCACAGUGGUUACAGGAGGGGGCAAAGAGCACAGGGCUGCCCAGGGCCUUGUGGAGCUCGCCUCCUGAGGUCUGGUUUUCUGGGAUCAGCCAGGCAGGCCCAGCCACAGGCACCAUGGAAAAGCUGCCCUGGGCUCCCACUUCUUCCCAGAGCAUCCGAAGGUGUGCUGCUGGGCUGGGCCUUUGUGCGACCAAAGGGGCUGCACAGGAGAUCUCCUGAACCUCUGUACAUUAAGUCCAGCCCAGGGUCCGGCCAGAUAGGCCAAGGCUUUGACCUGAGAGCCAGAGAAUGAGAGGGAACCCUGAAACUGUGCCAAACUCAAAUGGAGGAAAGCAUCCAAAUCUGCUUAACACAGAGCUCCUGCAUUCCUCCUCUGCUCCUCAGCAAACAGCCCCAGCACUAUCGCACUGCCUGCCUUUGCCAUCACCUCCUCACUGCAGAGCAGCUGCAGUGAGAACAGCCCUGGCGAGAACUCAGCCCCACCUCUUGGGGGAAGUGAGAAAGAAGGAAACGCAUAGACAGUGGAAGGAGGUGUGCUGAAUUAGGGUGUCCUCAAGGUGUUUGUAAUAACUGUGUUGGCGGUUUUUUAAUUUUAAAUAUCUUUUUAUAAACCUAGAUGAUACCAAAAUGACCUUUAGCAGUUUAUGGUGAGGUCCGGUUAUCUUCGAAUCCAUAGCACUGGCAAUUGAAUUGGUGGAACAUCUGCCAGCCCACACGAAAACCUGGGUAUGUGCAGUUGAUAAUGUAUAUGUGAUAACACGUUUUCUACAAGUGCCUACACCAUUCUCCUUUUACAGAACUAUACUGCAUUUUGACAUCAAUGCCACAGCCUUAAAUUUAUGUGACAUGGGAACUGUAUCCGAAUAUUUAACCUCAGAGACUUAGGCUUUUCGAGUAGCAGAUGUCUCAUAGGUGGAAACGUGCUUUAGUUUUGUUAACUGUACUGAAUCAAAGGUGAAUAUGAAGAAAAGAAAACUGUCAUGUAAUGAUACAAUGUAUAUAACCCAAGCUAAGGCAUAUUUAAUUCUACCACUGGGGUUCUUUUUGUUUUGUGGAACCACUGCCUACACUUAGGUGACUGCAAAUUCCACAGGUGGCCCCUGUGCAAUUAGUAGAAUUAUCAUUCAGUUCUGAUUUGAACACUGUCCCUUACAUAGCUGCAAAGGUCUCCAAGACAUACUCUUGGUGAUAGCUUAUUUUCUCAUGGGGAAUCAAUGGGGAAUGCUCAGCUGGCACAAGAGCAGCAGAGGAUCUUUCAUUACCUUAUCAGGUGGGCAGGAGCACAGUGAAAGAGUGUGGAAUAAUUACUGGAGAUGACUUACUGAAAUGUCCACCUCCUGAGAGAAUGACGGAAUUGUAUGGAUUGGAUUGGAGAUCUAGAGAUUUUCAGGUCCCUGAUAAAGUAGGUUCCCUACAGCAGGCUGCACCAGCAGGCAUCCAUGCAGGUCCUGAAUACCUCCAGAGAAGGAAAUUCCGCCACCUCUCUGGGCAGCCUGUUCCAUUCCUCAUCACCCUCAGGGCACAGGAGUUUUUACCUCAUGUUCAUACAGAACUGCCUGUGUUUCAGAAGGUGAAGCCCCCAGGGGGAAUGCACUGGAUAGUCUGUUCCAUGAUAGUUCCCUAAGCAACGUGACCUGCGACCUUAGCUGUCAGCAAACACCAGGGGAGUCUGGUAUGCUGACUUUGAGAAAACAUGGAGUGUGGAGCAGGGUGGAAUCUCAUGGCCAAAUUCCAUGAUCAUCCUGCAGGGAUGAGGACCCGAUGAAACUAUCUAAUUGUUCUGAGCCAGCCCUGAGGCACUAGUUUUCAGCCUUUCUGCCUCAAUAAUGCUGAGUAAACUUUACAAAAUGUAGCCAUAAACAAUAAGGAGAGUUGGCUGGGGAUGGGGCAGCCACUGUUUUGGGGACUGGGUGGGCACUGGUUGGUAGGAGGCGAGCGAUUGCUUGUGCAUCACUUGUUUUGUAAACAUGGAUUAUAGUAUUAACAACACUAUUACUAUUUCCCUUUUUUCUUCUUUCUUUUAGUUUUUAUCUCAAUCCACAAAUUCCCCUUUGUGUUGUUUUUCUUAUUCUCUCCCCCACCUUCCUCACCCAGCCUGGGCUCAGGCCAGGGACUCCCCCAUGCCCUCCAGCAGCUGCGCGGCCCCCCUGCAUUCGUGCCC